AUUGCAUAACUAUUAACUUUCGUGCUUGCAUAGGGAAUCACAAACCUUAACAUCAAUAUUCUUACUAAAGCAUAAUUACUCAUUGUCACGCCCAAUAUGCGACCCUAUCCAAAAGGAACUCGAAGGUCCCACCAAGGAUAGACCCGCAUAUUGAAACGCUUUUGCAAGGUGGAUAUCAUUACAUCAACAUUACAUAAUAGAUGGGGAUAAAUACAUAAGGCAUACAAUGCCACUCAAAUACAACAUCACAACACAUAAGAGCAUCAUCCGACUACGGAUGAAACACAAACAGAAACUCAAACGACAUCCACCCUGCUAGCCCAGGCUGCCGAUCUGGAACCUAUCCCUGAUCGAAGAAGAAGCAGAAGAAGAGCUCAAGCAAGCAAGCAUCGCUCUCGCGUCAUGAUCAUCACAUAACCUGUACCUGCAACUGUUGUUGUAGUAAUCUGUGAGCCACGAGGACUCAGCAAUCCCAUUACCAUGGGUAUCAAUACUAGCAAAUCUUAAUGGGAAAGGAAUGGGUAAAGUGGUGAGGUUGCAGCAACGACUAAGCAAGUAUGGUGGCUAACCUACGCAAAUAAGAGCGAGAAGAGAGCAAGCGGAACGAUCGUGAAGCUAGCAAUGAUCAAGAAGUGAUCCUGAACUCCUACUUACGUCAAACAUAACCCAAAGACCAUGUUCACUUCCCGGGCUCCGCCGAAAAGAGACCAUCACGGCUACACACGCGGUUGAUGCGUUUUAAUUCGGAUCUGGUGUCAAGUUAUCUACAACCGGACAUUAACAAAUUCUCAUCUGCCUAUAACCGCAGGCACGACUUUUGAAAGAUUAUACCCUGCAGGGGUGUCCCAACUUAGCCCAUGAUAAGCUCUCGCGAUCAACGAAGGAUAUACCUUCUCCCAGGAAGACCCGAUCAGACUCGGAAUCCCGGUUUACAAGACAUUUCGACAAUGGUAAAACAAGACCAGCAAAGCCGCCCGAUGCGCCGACAAUCCUGAUAGGAGCUGCACAUAUCUCGUUCUCAGGGCAACACCGGAUGAGACAUCCUACGAGUAAAACCAGACCUCAAGUUUCCCCGAGGGGGCCCUGCAGUCUACUCGGUUCGGACCAACACUUAGACAAGCACUGGCCCGGGGGGGGGGGGCUAAAAUAAAGAUGACCCUCGGGUUGGCCGACCCAAGGGAAAUGUAUAGGUGGUGGUGAGGCAAAUGAUAAGACCAAGGUUGGGCCUUGCUGGAGGAGUUUUAUUCAAAGCGAACUGUCAAGGGGGUCCCAUAAAUCACCCAACCGCGUAAGAAACGCAAAAUCCAAGAACAUAACACCGGUAUGACGGAAACUAGGGUGGCAAGAGUGGAACAAAACACCAGGCAUAAGGCCGAGUCUUCCACCCUUUACCAAAUAUAUAGAUGCAUUAAUUAAAUAAGAGAUAUUGUGAUAUCCCAACAUAAUCCUGUCCACCAUGGGGCAAUCUUCAACUUCACCUGCAACUAGCAACGCUAUAAGAGGGGCUGAGCAAAGCGGUAACAUAGCCAAGCAACGGUUUGCUAGGAAGGGUGUCAAAGGAUUAGAGGUUCAUGUCAAUUUGGGAUGGCUUGAUAAACAGGUGAUAGGUAGCACAACAUAGCAAUAGAAUGAAGCAACUAGCAUAGCAAUGAUAGUAGUGAGAUCCAGGGUAGCGGUCAUCUUGCUUGAAAUCCCGCAAGGAAGAAGAACGAGUCCAUGAAGAAGACAGACGAACGUAGUCGAACGAAUCCUCACAACUUCGGAACGAAACCGAAGGCAACCUGGAAAGAAGCAAACAACAUGGUAAACACACAAGCAUAAACAUGGCAUGAUGAACAAUCAAGUAUGAUGCAUGUCCGAUUUAAAUGAGGCUUGGUAUGGCAAAGUGCAACAAGCAAUACUACAAGUUAAGUGGAGCUCAAUAUGCAACAAGUUGCAUAUUGACAAAACACCACAACAAUUAUUUAGUUCAUCUCGUUUAAGCUGCCAAACAAUAUUAAAUGUGGUUAAACAUGGCAAGAGGUGAAGUAUAACAAAACUACACUAUCUAAGCAAUUUAAAUGAAGCCGGAAACAACAAACAACAAUUCCAGAAAAUCCCCAUGUGCAUAUUUUGAAUUAGCUACUGUUCUUUCCUAAAACAUAUUUUAAAGUUGUUAAACAGGAAAAUAAAGUGCACCAUGUUAAACUAUGCAUUUUUCUAGCCCAUUUACAUAUAAAGAACAUCUAAAACCGAGCUACGGUUAUUUAGUUAUGAAACAAAUCAUUUUAGCAUAUUAUUUAAGCAAAAUUAAACAAACUGCAUUUUAAACAUAUUUAACAUGGAUUAAAGUGGCAAAUUAUUAAUCUACACAAAAUUCUAAUCAUUUUACAUGUAUAAGUUAUUUACAAAAGAUGCAUAGUUCAUGAGUAAUUAUAUGCAUGAAGUUAGAGGGUUUUUCUGUAAAAACUGCAGUCUCAGGAUAAUGUCUAAAUUUGCAGGCAAGGAAAAAACACUAUUCGGGCCAAAACUUGCUGGCCCGACAGGGUACAGGAGGGGGACUAGAUGGGGCUGCUCACCCAUGGGCUUGGCCCGGUUCGGUGGAGGAGGCUGGCAGGCCGCGGGGCGCAGGCUGGACCUUGGGGAGGCGCUGGGCAGUUGGGCUGCUGGCGUUCCAGACAAGCAGGGACGCGGUCAACGAGGCUGGGCGCGCCUCGUUCAUCUUCGAAGCAGAGGAACCAGGGGCGCGGCGAGGACGGGGUCAACGGCACGGCAGCAGCCGCAGGGAAGGCCGACGAUGUGGAGAUGGGGCGGAUCCGGCUGGCCGGCGCCGGAUCCGGGCAACGACGGCGCGGACGGAGCUCAGGGGCGGCCAUGGCGAAGCAGAGGACGGGGAUGGCCUGUAGACAACGGGCCGUCGACGGGGAUGGGGCAGACAAGGCCGAAGGAGGUCGUCGCCUGCGAUGGCGCGAGGGGACGAGGCCAAGCGCUCCUGCUCGGGACCUCGAGCAGCUGCUGGCUUCGGUCGGUGUGGACGAGGAGAAGGCAGGGCCUCGGGCGCGGGGCGGACAGGACGAAGGAGCUGCGGGAGGUCAGACUUGUCCAGGAGGCAGGGGAGGCAGAUGCCCGGUGGCGCGGGGACUUGGUGCAGACGAGAAGAGGCACGGCGGCUGCGCGGGGAACCUGGCGCGAUCUCGGCGACGCGGACGAGGUGAGGAGGAGCGGGGGCGGCCUGAACUGGGCCUUGGUGUUCAAUCUGGAGCAUGGAAGCAGAGGCUGGGCGAGGGGCUUGGCGGGCGCCAUGAGCAGGGGAGCCUUGCUCCGGUCGAGGCAGACGAGAAGCAAGGAGGUGGAUGCGGGAUUGGAUGGAUCGAGGGGAGGAGGAAGGUGGCUAUGGUUGGCUCGAUGUGGAAUUCGAGGAGGAUUUUGGAGAGAGCGCUGGUUUGUGGAUUGGAUGAGGGUGAUCCCGAUAGGGAUUGAGCGGGUGGCGGCGCGAUGGGACAAGAAGCGUAGGCUUUAGGGAUUGGUCUAGGGUUGGGCUAUUUAUAUAGAUAGGGGAUUAGGGUAAGGGUUAAUCUGUUCCUCCAUUCGAAAUCGGACGGUCCAGAAUAGAAUAGGCAGGGAGUCCAAAUAAUAAAACGGAGAUGUUUUAGGGAUGUUAGGGGAUGAUCCGGACCCAACGGGGACGACAGCCCGGGUCGGGUUCGGGGGAGUUUUGGACAUGGUUGCGAAGGGGGUUCGAUGCACUGUGCAAAGAAGGAUUAGAUGGUUUGACAAGAGUAAAUUGAAAACCCAGUUGGUCUGGAACGGUCAAUGAAGGCAAAGUGGUCUGAGGGACGGUGAUGAAGGCAAAGGGAGAAACGGCAACGACGAGCGAAUGCAAGUUUUGAAAAAAAUGACGGCAACGAAGUGCUGAUGCAAUGCGGAUGAUGCUAUGAGAUGAAAUGCAUAACAAGAACAAAAUGCAAAACAACAGACAAAAACCCAACCACGGAGGAAAAAUAAAUCACAUAGCCGGAAAUGGCAAGAGUCGGAGUUGCGAAUAUGGAAAGUUGUAUCCGGGGCGUUACAACACUCCACCACUAUGAGAGGAUCUCGUCCCGAGAUCUAGGAUGGCACCGAGGGAAAAGGAAGAGGAAGAUAAGAGGUAAACUAAGUUGCUUCUUCGACAAACAAGUGAAACCAUGAACCUUGAGAGGUUGAAAGUUGAAAGAAAGAACAUAACAGAGUUGAACACAAUUGAGGGCACUGUGGUAGAACAAAUAGAAACAAGGAAGACCAUUUGAACCUUGCAGGUUGCAAAGCUAUGAAUCAAGAGUUUAAUGGACAAGAUAGAAUUUGAAACCACUCCGGUUAAAACAAGAUAAGAAUGAUAUAGUUUUGGAAGCACUCCGACUGAAGGAAGAAGGAAAACUUGAUAAGAUGAAAAGCACUUGAAGAGAUGACACAACACUCCGAUUAAAUGGAUAAGCCAGAAAAGAAGACGAUCCUCACCAAACGAGGUGAUGGGUGAAGAGCACAACAUCAGAAUGGCUCCGUAACGAAAGAAUAGAAGUUAGACCGUUGGGAUAAAGGGACGGAGAAGAAAUGACAACUUUUGCCACAAGUCAACUUGGAAAGCAUCCUUGCAAAGAAGAAUCGAACGGAGUUGUUGGAAAAUCAACAACGAGAAGCACAAGCUUGUUGUGGGCUUAUGGAAAAACUUCUCAAGACUAUGAGGUGACAUUCUGCCACUAACGAAAAACAAUUGCUUGCUUGAGAUCAAAGAAGAGAUAACAACUUGUUUCGCCGAGAGGAUAGGAGAAAAACUUGGAUCAUUGAUAGUCACCACAAUGAGCAACAUUCCUUAGGGAAGGCUUUAGGUGAAAACUAACCCAAGAUAACUCCAACAAAGAGAUUGAUUGGUCGAAAAGAUAUCUUGAACGAAGAGAAAAUGAUGGAUUUAGUUAACUCAUUCCUGACAACUUGUGAAUCAUGAAGCACGAGGAGAAAUUGCCGAGGAUGACAUAACACCAUCUCAAAAGAUAAGGUAGAAAGGAUUGCACUUCGGAAUGCAAGAUGAAGAAUACUUGAACUCCUUAGAAAAAAACAUGUGUUGGGCACCAUGUUUAUUUUUUUGAGUAUAGCUUGGCGGAUCAUAACUUCAAGAGAAAUCUUGAAGAACAAUUGAAGAAUGAAAAUAAUCCUUGACGAACCACCAUGUAGAGCCUCCAUCAAGAAGUCUGGUAAUAAAAUAAUGAUAGAAAGGAAGAGAAGUUGAAAACACAAGGUGAAGCCUUGCAAUGAAUUAGAUGGAGCAUCGCGACGAUAUAAUUGAGAAAACUUGGAACUCCGGAAAAAAAGAUGAAACACUAGAACCGAGAAUUACUUCAUCAUGAACAAUCUUCGAAAGAAAAGAAUUGAAUUUCCUUGAGGAAAUAAGAAUAAGAUUUAUUGUAUGCUUAUCCUUCAUCAAAUUCAAUUGAUGACAAGCAAUGGAUUUGGCAUACUACUUAUUCCCGUAGAAAGGAUUAAAAGAGAUAUAGCGCAAACUGGAGAAGGUAUUGAUGGAACCACCGGUGGGAUUUGGAAACAACAAAUAUUUGAUAUGAUAACGAAGGAAGUGAAAUCUUGAACGAACCGCCGUAAGAAUUGAAAAUGAAAGUAGCAAAGGCACAAUUCACCGGGAAGAAUUGGGGAACGAAUGAAGAUACUUGAGGGGAUAUAGAUACAUGAGAACACAGAGAUCAUGAACUGAUUAGAGGGUAUUUGAACGAUGCCCCGGUAAGAUUUGGAGAACAAGAGUUGAAGGCUGAGAAUAAGAAUUAUGACAAGAUGGCCUUCGAAGGAGAGAAAUGGAAACAACUCAUGAAAAGCUCCGGAUGGUAAGAAAAGAAUUCUCACAAUCAAAAACAAUUAUGAGAGGAUGGCAUCAAGCUUGGACUACACAUCUUUGGAAGAACGGGUAAGGAUUUAAGAGGAACUCUUCUUCGGUCUUCAAAAUCCGAGAAUGACGAGGAGAAACACCAUCCAAUUGUUGAGACACUCCGGAACAAAGAAGAAUAGAAAUGAUGAACCAACGAUGAAAAUAUUCUGAAAGCGAUCUUGGAGCAGGAAUAUGACUCAUGGAAAUUCAUUCUUACGUCAAACUUGGAAAUGAAUUUGAGAAUCGCUCCUGAUAAUUCGAAGAGUCAGGUAAGAUCUUGGGAAAAGACCUGUGGGUUAGGGCCCACUCAAAAGAAAACACCUUUGAAAAUGAUUUUAAAGAGAGAUUGCACCGGUUGAGUUAAAUGGCUUGAAUGAGAUAACAAUCUCCAAAUAGCUUGAACGGAUUGUGAAUGGAAACACAAGUCCUCUGAGAUAUCUUGAGCACUCCGGAUAAGAAUAGAGAGAGGUGAACAAUUAAGAGGUGCACCGACAUGGAGAAACAUUUGAAACGAGGAAAAGAAUAUGAUCAACACUGAAAGCUUGAAUUGGAUCCACCGGAGAAGAAAAAAGAACGAAGGAUGAUGAACUUGAAGCUCGCGAGCAUCUUCACGAGGGAUCACCGGAUCAGAACACUGAUUGAAAAGAGUGAAGUGACUUUACAUGAAUAAAUGGAUACUUGAUUAAAAUAAAUGAGUCCUUGAAGAAAAGGUUGGGAGGGCGGGAAAACAAAGGCAACUUGGGGACGGAUAAAACAAACACCGGUGAGAAAACUUAGAGUUGAUCUUGCGGAUGUUGAAAAUGAACGGAUCCACUUGAAGAGAAGCACACCGGUUGGAAAAGAAUUGACAUGACAACCUCAAUGAUCAAGAAGGAUUAUUACUCCCAUAGAAAUAUGAGAACACCAUUUAGGAAAGGUAUGGAUUCAACAUUUGACUUCGAAGCAACUCGAAUACCAUAAAUAAAACAAAACAAAGGAUUUGGCUUGCAGAAUAAGACGGAACAAACAUAUGAUAGAGAUUUACCCAAUCCCAUAUCAUGCAUCUGUCGGAAAAAUAUUCUAGGAGCUACUUGAAUUCCCAUCUAUAAACUCCCAAAACUUUCUGGUUAUGCAAUCUAGUGUUGGGGAUACAGGGGAAGCAAUAUAUCUCACCCAAACUAACAAUCCCUACAUCCAGCUGUAUCCAUCCGUUAACACAUAACCAAGAAAACUCCGGAAAUCGUGUACCUCAACCUUUGAAAAGCAUCCGUUAUACGAGCUAUGGCAAUACUCCCGAACUCCCCAGUACUGGGUGGCGUCGAGGUUAUCUCACCAACAACUGCAUAAAAGAGAUUUUCGAUGUCGGCAAAACUCAGGUAUUCCAGAACUGCAACGAUAAAAUUAUGACGACAACACCUCGGAGCUCAACUCCCCGGGUCAAUGCCACAUAAUAGACAGGAGGCACCAAGAACAAUGUUCUCGUCACAAAACCAUCGGAACGAUUCCAAGAUACCCGCGUGAUCCUAAAAAAAAUUGUGAAAAAUUGAGGAGAGGAAAGACAAAACAUCUACGUCGAGAGUCCUCACCGGAGCGACGAAGGGGGCUGAGGAGUAAAAAGAAUCCUACUCUUCGAUAUAUAUAAUCCUAAGACUCAAAAUAGUUUUCUUCUAGACUCAACAACGGCCAACAAUCAAGGGGGCUCCUAUGGUCGGUCGAGGCUCUGAUACCAACUUGUCACGCCCAAUAUGCGACCCUAUCCAAAAGGAACUCGAAGGUCCCACCAAGGAUAGACCCGCAUAUUGAAACGCUUUUGCAAGGUGGAUAUCAUUACAUCAACAUUACAUAAUCGAUGGGGAUACAUACAUAAGGCAUACAAUGCCACUCAAAUACAACAUCACAACACAUAAGAGCAUCAUCCGACUACGGAUGAAACACAAACAGAAACUCAAACGACAUCCACCCUACUAGCCUAGGCUGCCGACCUGGAACCUAUCCCUGAUCGAAGAAGAAGCAGAAGAAGAGCUCAAGCAAGCAAGCAUCGCUCUCGCGUCAUGAUCAUCACAUAACCUGUACCUACAAUUGUUGUUGUAGUAAUCUGUGAGCCACGAGGACUCAGCAAUCCCAUUACCAUGGGUAUCAAUACUAGCAAAGCUUAAUGGGAAAGGAAUGGGUAAAGUGGUGAGGUUGCAGCAACGACUAAGCAAGUAUGGUGGCU
rnacentral:lncRNA from 1 species